AACGAAAACCCGCACCGAUGACAACAGCAACCGCGCGUGGUGCCACUAGUUUGCGAAAGAAAAUAAGUGUAGUGAGAACGGAAUCGGGCUAAAUCUCCAGACCUGCGGGCCGGGCAAGACGCCAACCAGAAACCCGGCGGCGGCGACCAUCUUUGCGUCCAGGAUUCCACACAUAAGGCAAGGGUUUCGACGGCCAAUCAGCGACUCUUAGCUGCUGGAAGGAUGGCGCCAACAUAUUCCAGUACCCGCUGAUUAAAUCUUCCGACUGCAUCCACGUCGCACAACUGGUAGCACACGGCCGGUUCUUCCGCGGUUCUCCACACUUGGAUCGCCCAGCAAAAGCACAGCAACGCAUUCGGAACAGGAGGUGGCUCAGUCGGCAGGGAGGUCGGUCGUCCGUCAGAUCGGAUCAGGCAGGAACACACGAAAGGCCCCGAAGGGGCCUUUUGUUUUGUGGAACCAUUCAUAACCACGGCUGAAUACGAAUCUACAACGGACAUCGCGACCAGCCGAGAGAGAGGAUUCACGUUCAGGAUUGCAGCCAUUCUGGUCUGUGUUGGCUGGGGAUCCCCGUCAUCAUCCGCCGCGGCUGCUGCUACACGUCAAGAGGGGGAGCGUUCAUCGAGUCGGACGAUUGGUGUCGUAAUUCCAUGCGCUGUCCUUGGAUCGCGGCAAGUGGCAACAGCAGCGCUAACCGCCGACGUUUGACCCCAAGGAGACAAGAUCGACCAAGAGGCGAGACGUAGAGGGCAUUCGGCCUCUCGUGUAGAUAGAGCUUCUCAUCAGUCCCGAGGAGGUGGGACCGCGCCCGAUCAGAAGUUCGACGGCGGCGCAGUGGUGGGCGUCAAGCGAUUGCGGAGGUAGCGGAGCGGUGAGCAAUGCACGAAACUUAAUCUAAAAGACCUAGGCAUGAAGAUUUUGUAGCA